rnacentral:rRNA from 1 species
UACGUAGGGGGCAAGCGUUGUCCGGAAUCAUUGGGCGUAAAGAGCGUGUAGGCGGCCAGAUAAGUCCGCUGUGAAAUCUCGAGGCUCAACUUCGAGCUGUCGGUGGAAACUGUCUGGCUAGAGUCCGGAAGAGGAGAAUGGAAUUCCUGGUGUAGCGGUGAAUGCGCAGAUAUCAGGAAGAACACCCGUGGCGAAGGCGGUUCUCUGGGACGGUACUGACGCUGAGACGCGAAAGCGUGGGGAGCGAACAGG